UUGCACCGGGUGGAUGAGUGGCGAACGGGUGAGUAACACGUGAGUAACCUGCCCCUGACUUCGGGAUAAGCCCGGGAAACUGGGUCUAAUACCGGAUACGACUGCCGGACGCAUGUCUGGUGGUGGAAAGUUUUUUCGGUUGGGGAUGGGCUCGCGGCCUAUCAGUUUGUUGGUGAGGUAAUGGCUCACCAAGACGACGACGGGUAGCCGGCCUGAGAGGGCGACCGGCCACACUGGGACUGAGACACGGCCCAGACUCCUACGGGAGGCAGCAGUGGGGAAUAUUGCACAAUGGGGGAAACCCUGAUGCAGCGACGCAGCGUGCGGGAUGACGGCCUUCGGGUUGUAAACCGCUUUCAGCAGGGAAGAAGCGCAAGUGACGGUACCUGCAGAAGAAGUACCGGCUAACUACGUGCCAGCAGCCGCGGUAAUACGUAGGGUACGAGCGUUGUCCGGAAUUAUUGGGCGUAAAGAGCUCGUAGGUGGUUGGUCACGUCUGCUGUGGAAACGCAACGCUUAACGUUGCGCGUGCAGUGGGUACGGGCUGACUAGAGUGCA
rnacentral:rRNA from 1 species